AUGACGGAGCUAUUGAAAGAUGAACCGACAAGAGUUGGGUCUUGGUGUAAAAAGUAUCUUCUUGAAGGUCAACAACUUGACGAGAAACAUGCUGAAAAGAUUACAAACUUUCCUGUUAAUCCAACAUUUGCUGAUUACAUUCUUAUCAAGUAUCGAAAGUUUGUCGCUGUGUUGAUACCGUUUGUUUUCAUUCAUACAUUUUGGUGGGCGACAGCCAUCAAGCAUGACUUUUUCCAUUACUACCCAGAAUAUUGGCAUAUGCCUGUUACAAUGGUUGUUGGAGCACUCAUAUCUGGAAUGACUGCUGAAGGAGCUGGAGCUGUUGCUUUUCCCGUUAUGACUUUAGUUCUUCAUUUAGCACCGUCGAUUGCUAGAGAUUUUGCACUUAUGAUCCAGUCAAUUGGUAUGAUGGCUGCAUUCGUCUGUGUAAUAUUUAUGAAAGUAAAGUUUGAUGAACGAUCAGUUAUAUUUGGCAUCGCAGGAGCCAUACCAGAUUGAUCCUCUCUUCACCGGAGCUCAAAAGAAAAUGCUCUUUGUUUCUAUUUGGACAUCAUUUGCAUUUGCUCUCGGAAUUUUGAAUGCUCAGAAAAAGCGACCGACAUUUGUUAAAAUUCCUGAAUUUUGUUUCUGGAAAGGUCUGCUUCUGUUUCUAACAGGUGUUGUUGGAGGAAUUUUUGAUGCAUUUGCUGGAAGUGGAAUUGAUAUUUGUAUGUUUUCAACGCUAACCCUUUUGUUCCGGGUUAGUGAGAAGACAGCGACACCUACAACAAUGAUAUUAAAAGGUGUUGUAUCAAUGUUCGGGUUUUACUACAGAGCUGUUCAAAUGGGUGAUAUAUCGGAAAUUGCAUGGAAAUAUUUUACAUGCACAAUACCAGUUGUUGCGACAAUGGCUCCCAUUGGCUCAUUUCUGGGAUCUCAUCUUCAUCGUCAAGUAAUUGCAGCUUUGAUUUACAUUCUUGAAGCAGCUUCGCUUGUUGGAUUCUUAUUGACCAAACCAACAUGGUUUCUUAUCAUCAUGUCAGUUGUCAUAAUUGGCUGUGGAUUUGUCUUUUUCUCAGUAAUGGCAAAAACUGGAGAAGUUCUAAUGAGAUACAUUGAUUCGAAUCAAGUGGAAGAUGAUGAGGAGAAGACGGAAAUCGAAACAGAGAUGGAAGUUCGAUUUACAUGA
rnacentral:misc_RNA from 1 species